GGGAGAGUGGCUGAGUGGCUUAAAGCGGCAGAUUGUAAAUCUGUUGAAUUCUUCAUCGUAGGUUCGAACCCUACCUCUCCCA
rnacentral:tRNA from 1 species